rfam:Pythium ultimum DAOM BR144 ctg_1117875579731, whole genome shotgun sequence.
GCGCGGGUAGCUCAGUGGUAGAGCGUUCGAUUGCAGCUCGAAGGGUCACUGGUUCGAAUCCGGUCUCGCGCU